UACGUAGGGGGGCAAGCGUUGUCCGGAAUCAUUGGGCGUAAAGCGCACGUAGGCGGAUCUUUAAGUCAGGGGUGAAAUCCCAAGGCUCAACCUUGGAACUGCCUUUGAUACUGGGGGAUCUCGAGUCCGGAAGAGGUUGGUGGAACUGCGAGUGUAGAGGUGAAAUUCGUAGAUAUUCGCAAGAACACCAGUGGCGAAGGCGGCCAACUGGUCCGGUACUGACGCUGAGGUGCGAAAGCGUGGGGAGCAAACAGGG
rnacentral:rRNA from 1 species